GACGAACGCUGGCGGCGUGCUUAACACAUGCAAGUCGAACGGAAAGGCCCUGCUUUUGUGGGGUGCUCGAGUGGCGAACGGGUGAGUAACACGUGAGUAACCUGCCCUUGACUUUGGGAUAACUCCAGGAAACUGGGGCUAAUACCGGAUAGGAGCUCCUGCUGCAUGGUGGGGGUUGGAAAGUUUCGGCGGUUGGGGAUGGACUCGCGGCUUAUCAGCUUGUUGGUGGGGUAGUGGCUUACCAAGGCUUUGACGGGUAGCCGGCCUGAGAGGGUGACCGGCCACAAUGGGACUGAGAUACGGCCCAGACUCCUACGGGAGGCAGCAGUGGGGAAUAUUGCACAAUGGGCGGAAGCCUGAUGCAGCAACGCCGCGUGCGGGAUGACGGCCUUCGGGUUGUAAACCGCUUUCGCCGGUGACGAAGCGUGAGUGACGGUAAUGGGUAAAGAAGCACCGGCUAACUACGUG
rnacentral:rRNA from 1 species